CCGAGAGCCAGUGGAGCUAUACUAUUCAUGGUGCAACCAAAUUUGGAAGGCCCACUAACCUUGAACAAAGAUG
rnacentral:lncRNA from 1 species